rnacentral:sRNA from 1 species
GCCAGGUGUGGUGGCUCACACCUGUAAUCCUAGCACUUUCGGAGGCUGAGGUGGGAGGAUUGCUUGAGCCCAGGAGUUCAAGACCAGCCUGGCCAAUGUGGCGAAACCCCAUCUCUACAAAAAAUACAAAAAAUUAGCCAGGGGUGGUGGCCCUUGUCUGUAGUCCCAGCUACCCAGGGAGGCUGAGAUGGAAGGAUUACUGAGCCCAGGAGGGGCUACAUGAGCCUCAGUUGGGCCACUGCACUCCAGCCUGGGCAACAGAGUGAGAUCCUAUCUCA